rnacentral:rRNA from 1 species
AUUGAACGCUAGCGGGAUGCCUUACACAUGCAAGUCGAACGGAGUGGCGAACGGGUGAGUAAUGUAUCGGAACGUGCCCAGUAGCGGGGGAUAACUACGCGAAAGCGUAGCUUAUACCGCAUACUAUUGGAGCGGCCGCUAUCGGAUUCUCUAGGUGGUGGGGUAACGGCUCACCAAGGCGACGAUCCGUAGCUGGUUUGAGAGGACGACCAGCCACACUGGGACUGAGUAACGGGCCAGACUCAUGAGUGAGGCAGCAGUGGAGAAGUUUGGACAAGGGGGGAAACCCUGAUCCAGCCAGCCCGCGUGUGCGAUGAAGGCCUUCGGGUUGGAAAGCACUGUUGGCAGGAAAACGGUAACUGCAGAAUAAGCACCGGCUAACUACGUGCCAGCAGCCGCGGUAAUUC